CCCCCUAUGAUGAAACUGGCAAACAUACUGGACUUAGAAUCCAGGUUCUGUAGGUUCGAGUCCUACUAGGGGUACCA
rnacentral:tRNA from 1 species